rnacentral:rRNA from 1 species
UACGGAGGGUGCGAGCGUUGCUCGGAAUCACUGGGCGUAAAGCGUACGCAGGCUGUCGUACAGGUCGGGUGUGAAAGCCCGGGGCUCAACCCCGGAACUGCGCCCGAGACUGUAUGACUUGAAUGCGGGAGAGGGAAGCGGAAUUCCUGGUGUAGAGGUGAAAUUCGUAGAUAUCAGGAGGAACACCAGUGGCGAAAGCGGCUUCCUGGCCCGACAUUGACGCUCAUGUACGAAAGCGCGGGGAGCAAACAGG